GAGCACGAGCAUAGAAAGAGAAAAAGAGAGAAAAAGAGACACAGGUACGAGACGAGCUGUGGUGUGAGGUAGCCACCAGUCAACAGCGGAGACGGAGACGGAGAGUCCGAGGUAGCCCGUGCCUGUAGCUGCCCGUGGCUCGUUGUAACGUGACGCGAAGGUGUGCCAAGCUCUUUCGCUUGCCUGUUACUUCGUCCGAAGACGCCCGAUCGUACGUCUACCAUAGUGUCGCGUAUCGAAAGUGUCGGUAGUAGUGUUGUGUGAUAUAUUGGCCUGUCUGUCCUCGUGUGCCAGCCGAAAAAACUAUACCAGCCGAGCCGUACAUCAUCGCGGAAAACUGUCAAGAGUGUCGUGUGAUCUCAGACGCUGGCUUCAAACGCGAACGCUUACGGGCAAUCUUCAUCGCGAUCGUGGGGUUGCACGAAACAUAAGGCACGCAGGCACGCAGGCACGCAGGCACCGGUCGUUCUUCGAUGUGCGAACGCAGGCUAACGUGAUUAAUAGAGGCCGAGCGAGAGAAAAUAGAAAUUAUCUGGAAGUAGCAGCAGAGGCUGGUUGCUCGAGAAGGCAGAAAAGUUGUUCGCAGAAUGUCGCAGGAUUUCACGACUGUCCAAAGACUGCGAGUCACGUCACGAGCGUGUGACGAAUUAACUAGCUGAGAAUGUCGGAGCAAAACGGGCCCAGCGAGGGCCCUGGGCCCGGUCCAGGGCCGGGUCCUGGUUGGUGGCCACCCUCACAGUCCUGGAAGACCAACUCCUGCACCGCUGCCUCCUCCUCUACUUGUUCAACCGUUUCAGACAACUCCGCCUCCGUCUCUGCCUCUUGCACCACCUCUACGUCCUCCUUGGCGACCACCACAUCGGCCACUUUAUCGACCAGCUGCUGUUCCUCCACCCCUGGCGGUGGACCGUCUUGCACGAUCACCGCGGCCCGCUCCUCCGAAACGGGAAAGAACGUCUCUGUCACGACGAUCAAUGUACCCCCUAAUCAGGACAUGCACGAUGGCAAGGGUAUAUGCAAGUAUCUUGGCGGCCAGAAUGGCGUGACAGUAUCGGUAGUGUCAAACUGUGGCUCCAUACUGGGAUGUGGAAACGCGAAUGUUGUAUCUACCACGGGGAUAGGCAGUAACACCGGCACACAGAGUAUUGGCAUCGGAGUGAACAUCCUUGACCAGAGCACGGCGGAUGAUGACGCGGAGGACAGCGACGUUGAGAUAAGCAAAAUCGACUUCCGAGGGGUGAAUUUGCGUACGAAGAAGAAACGAGACGUGUCUGGUAGUCAGAGUCAAAGCGGGGAGAAAAUCGGCGAUGGAGAGGUCGAGGAUGGGAACGGUUGUUACGACGGAAGCGAUGCGUCUCAGCAACAACCGGAGAGGCCCAUGUCAUGGGAGGGAGAACUAUCCGAUCAAGAAAUGUCUUCCAAUACGAUUACAAAUCAAGAUACACACGAGGACACGUCAAUGGAGGGUGUUCAAGUAUGUGGCGCGAGUCCCGGGCCAAUGGAACAAAAGUUUCCCAUAAAACCAGAACCAGAUUUUCAGUCCAACCCAGGUUUCACAUUUGGCUCUUUUCACGACACCGGAUUACCUCUGAAUCACGGCCAGCAAAUACAACAACAACAGCAACAACAGCGCAACAUUGAGAAUCUUGAACAAACACAACAAAACGAUUUGCCUCUUCUCGUAGGAAAGUUACUUGGUGGUUACAAUAGUUCGACUCCGAAUCACAGUCCAGUGUUGAAUCCUAGACACCAUUUAACAAAGCAUAGCCACACGAGAUCGCAGGUGCCGUCACCGGACUCGGCCAUUCAUUCCGCAUACAGCGUAUUCAGCUCCCCGACGCAAAGCCCUCACGCAACUCGCCACUCCCCCCUGGGCGCGGCAAGUCCAGUUCCAUCUUCGUCGCUAUCCUUGUCGCGACACAGUUUCAACAAUUCCACUUCCUCGUUGUCGCUCUCGUUGUCACACUCCCUCUCGAGAAACAAUUCGGACGCCUCGAGCAGCUGCUACAGCUACGGCUCUCUCAGCCCACCCACACACUCGCCCGUCCAGCAACCGAGACAUCCGCAGCAUCACCAGCAUCAAGUUGCUCAAGGAAGCCCACUUCAUCUGCCAGCAACCGCUUCUCCCGCCAUUACUCAUCACUACGCUUCCUCUGCACCGGGUUCUGAGCUAUCUCCAGAAGGACACGCUGCUACAGACGAUCAGGAAGACUGUAGAAUACCCUCGGCACCGUCUGGUAUAUCCACAAGGCAGCAACUAAUCAAUACCCCGUGUCCAAUUUGCGGGGAUAAGAUCAGUGGUUUUCAUUAUGGAAUAUUCUCGUGCGAGUCGUGCAAGGGAUUUUUCAAACGCACCGUCCAGAAUCGAAAGAAUUAUGUGUGCCUUAGAGGCGCGGGCUGUCCAGUCACCGUUGUUACCAGGAAAAAAUGCCCCGCCUGCAGAUUCGAAAAGUGCCUCAAUAUGGGUAUGAAGCUCGAGGCGAUUAGGGAGGAUCGCACCAGGGGUGGCAGAAGUACCUAUCAGUGUACAUAUACUUUUCCACCAAAUUUUGUCGGUAGUCCUGCAAGUAACAUGUCCAGCGACAAAUUAGCUGCCGGAGGAAAUUGUAGUCCAGCUCCAGCUGGUAACGAACAUCACUAUCCGGCAAGGCACCAUUCGAAUCACUCGCAUAAGAUGCAAAUGGUACCGCAACUUCUACAGGAUAUCAUGGACGUAGAGCACUUGUGGCAUUACAAUGAUAACGAUCGUAUGACUGGGAUUCAAAACGCAGGAACGAAUCUUACUAGAAACAACGAUUCAAUGUUAUUGAGCGUUAGAAGUAACGGAGGAUCUGGAAUAGAGAACGACACAGGUUCAGGUAUCGAGUGUUCCUCCAAUAGAACUACAGGAAAUGGUAAUCCUAGUAAUAGAAGAGAUAACAGAUCAUGCUCCAAUGUUUCUACUGUUGGUAACGAACAGCAUGCUGCAUCCGUUGGUAACAGUUCUCAAAUCAACAAUACGAAUUGUAAUCCAACUCAACAUCCUGAUUUUCUGUCGAACCUCUGCAAUAUCGCUGAUCAUCGACUCUACAAAAUAGUGAAGUGGUGCAAGAGUUUGCCGUUAUUUAAAAACAUUUCGAUCGAUGAUCAGAUCUGUCUGUUGAUUAAUUCUUGGUGCGAGCUACUGCUCUUCUCAUGCUGCUUUCGCAGUAUGAGCACUCCCGGUGAAAUUAGAGUGUCUCUCGGUAAGUCGAUUACACUGGAACAAGCUAGGCAGCUUGGCUUAGCGACCUGCAUCGAGAGGAUGCUUGCAUUUACUAACAAUUUGAGAAGGCUCCGAGUAGAUCAGUACGAAUACGUGGCGAUGAAGGUAAUAGUACUGUUGACCUCUGAUACAAGUGAACUGAAAGAACCUGAAAAAGUUAGAGCAUCUCAGGAAAAGGCUUUACAAGCAUUGCAACAAUAUACUAUCGCAAGGUACCCAGAAAUGCCUGCUAAAUUUGGUGAACUAUUAUUGAGAAUUCCAGAUUUACAAAGAACAUGCCAAGCAGGAAAGGAAUUAUUAAGUGCUAAACGUGCUGAAGGAGAAGGCAGCUCGUUUAAUCUGUUGAUGGAAUUGUUGAGAGGAGAUCACUGAAUCGCUAUUACCACAUUGAACAAUGCCAAAUAUUAGAAAUUAGGCUUUCCAAUGAUUUCUAUCCUAUAUGAUAAGUUUAUUGAUAGAUAGAUCUAUUUACAAUGGAUUAAACAGGAAACGGUUGAUGGUUAUUUAACGUGAACUAAAUACACUAAUGUGCUAGAACUAAGACGACUAAAUGGGUAAUACACAACUCACAAGUAAUAGCUUACAACUCGUAACAACUCGGCAACUCAACUCUCGAUUUCUCACAACUCGACUCUUCGCAACUCGACUCUCCACUCACGACUCUCCAACUCGACUCUCAACUCACGACUCCCCUCAACUCGACUCAUCACCACUCGACUCUCCAGAUUCCAUGCUUAUGAGGUCCAUAAGUUCAGGGAAUCGGAUGUAUUAAAUAAUCAAGGAGUAGCAGAAAUGUACAUGAAACAAAACCAUAAACAUUGCAGUCCAUGAUACAUUAAUUCUGGGUGAAGGGACUACAUUCUUGUAAGACUAAUUAGAGGUUCACUGUUUAAUGCAUGAAGCAAAUGAGAAAUGAUGUUUCGUUUCUCUAUAUUUUUUUGUUUUUGUUCUUUUUUUAAAAUUGAAAUUACUUUCACGGGGAUGUUGCAUAAUACAACUCCACCUUGAAACAUAACGAAUUUCGAAGCGGCCUGUGGUAUGCUCGAAAUAUUCAGCAUGCAUAUUUCUAUGCAAAAGAGACUGAAAGUAUAAUUGAAGCAGAGAUGCAGAGCAUUUACUUUUACAAUAAUAUCAAUGUACAGAGAUAGAAAGAUUAAGAGAGAGAGAGAGAGAGAGAGAGAGAGAGAGAGAGGGAAAGGAAGAAUGAAAGAGAGAGUGAAAGAGAGCACAAGAGAGAGAGAGAGAGAGAGAGAGAGAGAGAGAGAGAGUGAGAGUGAGAGUUGGUAUCAAAUAGCAUGAAAAUGCUAAAUUUUAUUAGGUAGGUUCAAGUAAACGACGAAUACAGAGUUUUAACCUUGAUAAUUAUUAUUAUUAUUAUUAUAAUAAAACAACCAGUAUUUUGUAUUGUUCUGCGCUUACUUAAAAAUAAGACAUAGAAUGAUGUCUUAUGUCCCGGUAAUGGAAGUGUACUUAAAACAUGAGUCGACCAAUUGUUUACUUAUAGAGCAGUUAAUCGUGUAAUAAUUAAUAGGUAAUAACAUUUAGCUUAUCAACAGAACAUUAUAAUUUUUAUCUAUUACACAAAUACAUUUUUUUUUAUUCUCUGUACGUUUUAUUAACACGCCGACAACGGAUGAAAGAUUUCGUACGAUAGCUUGAUACAUACAUAUCUUUUUAAACCGCGUGGAACGAUUUCUGAUAUUCUUUUUCUUGUAAAUGAAUUUUAUCUUGAGACGACACACGUUUUCAAAUUCUAUGUUACAUUCAGUGAAGUUUUUGUCGGAUUUUUAUAAAAAUGACGUUUGUUUGUUGUUAAAAUUUUACGAUUAUUUUAUUGUUUAGAAACUAAGACAGUUUACGUUUGGUUUAUUAUGUUUAUUUAAAAAAUAUGUAUCCUUUGUCGUAAUGAAACUAGAAUGUUAGUACCAGUGAUUAAGGAUUUUUAUAAAAGAUGAAUAUAAAAUUAUAUUUGCAAUAUUUGGAAAAUUCAAUUAUAUUCAUCGAGUAGAUUAUCGAAAGGAAAAGUUAAUUUGUUAUUCGUUUAAUGUCACGUUGUUAAACAAAAGAUAUAAUGAAAAUUAUUAAAUUAUUAUGAAAGUUGGAAAAGUAUAAUGAAAUAUUGCGCUUUCGUUGUUAACUGGUGCAAUUUCUUAUUUUGAAUAGAUGUGUAAAAUUUUUUUAUAAAAAAAAUUAGUCGUAAAAUGGACGAGUUGGAGCUUCCUGUUUAAAAUGAAGAAUACUCAUCUCUAUUCGUUGGUACUAUAAUGAGACUGUCAUAUCAACGCAUUAUUCUUUUUAUUAACGCAGCAAUUAAGUUUCUUUUGAUUCAUCGAUAAGAAUAUUACAACAUGCAAUAUUUAAUAAUAACAGUAAUAAUAACUUGUAAGAAUCGUCUUCCCAUCUUUAUAGCAGAUUUCCUUGUGCAGAAAGUGUAGGUUGACCUGUUAUAUACAGAGUGUUCAAGAAAUAUGAUAAAAUAUGAUAAAAGACAUGACAAAGACAUUUUCAAUCAUUUUGAUUUCAAUUGUACUAUUACGAUACAGCUAAUACAAGCUUGUUUUUAAGAUAUUGAGAUAUUUAAUAAAAUAAACCUCUUAUUUAUCAAUUUUAAUGAAACACUCUGUGUAAACAUACAUAUUGACAUAUUGUGUGCGUCGUGAAACAUUUUGUUUGUAAAGUUUAGUUUCCUCGUCGAAUAUCAAAUUCUUAUUGUACUUCUCAUUCGAAAAAUAUUCUCGCUUGUUAGCCAUUUAAUGUGUUACAUACUCUUCAGGUUUCAAUACCGUAUAAUUUUUCAUAAUAAGAUUUUCUUCCCUGUAGAGGCCAACUUCUCUAUUUCCAAGGAAUCUUUUUAAAUAGUUCUUACUUAGUAUUUGAAUAACAAACAGGAUUAAAGCAAAACUUCUGUCAUAUCUAUCUAUAAAAUAUAUCAAUGGUAAUACAACUUAUCUGAAUCUGUAGUAACCUACUGAGAAAAUAAUUCCUGAGAAAAAACAUUGUUUUGCUAUAAUUAGUUAUUGCCAUUGUAAUUAUUCAAAAGAAAGGGAAAGCUAUAUUAUGGCGAAAGAUACAGAGGAUUAUGCGGUAAAGAAUGUGUACGCCAUUCAGGUUACAAUUUUUAAUAAUGAACUAUGUAUAAAUAGAAAUUCGCCCGUUAAAAGAAGUAUUAUUAGUACAUUAGUUAGUGAAAUACUACGAAAAAAAUUACUGAAAUAUUUGUGCCUUCGAUAAAAUUUUGUAUUUUAAUCCUCUUUCGUAAUGCGAGGUAGACACGAGAACAAUUAUAUUAAGAACAUCGUGUAGAGAUAAUAUAAAUAUAUAAAACCAACAAGCAACAGUCUGAUUAAAAUUAUUAGUCAAUGAAGCAUUCUCUAACGAAAUGAUUAUCGAACUUUCGAUAAGAUUAUUUCUCUGUUUCAAAGAAACUGAAAAGCAUCCAAUGCUUCUAACAUCCGUCUUUGAUUGAUUCGAAAUUGAUUCGAAAUUGAUUCGAAAAUUUGCUCUAUUCUAUUUUAUCGAUCGACGAAAUCGAAAAAAUAUAAUCGAAAAUAUAAUAUAUCUUGGCAUAUAUUAUAUUUCACAUCUACCAUAAUUAAACAAUCUUUUAAUCAUACAUUGAAUAAAGAGAGAAUCGCGAUUGGUAGCUAAAACAAUUAUAAAAAUAAAAUUUAACCAGUAAAGUCUUUCACUUUUAAUUAGUUUAAUUCAAUGUCAAUUAUUCUGUAUAUGGUAGUGCUAAAUUUUAAUUAACUAUUUAUAUGAAAGAAUUAAAAUUUAUUUUAGAUCGGAAGUUUUGUACCAAUUAAAAGGAAAUAUAAAUUAUAUGACGCUGCUGUAAAUAUAAAAGUACAGAAUAAUAGUUUUCUGUAACGUAUGUAUAAAAGAUAGGGAGGGACGAAGAGAUUGAUGAGUCUGAUAAACGAAUAAAUUUAAACGUAGGAGGAAGAGGGAGAAAAGGCACGUGCACGAAAAAGAGAAUAUCUGUGAAUGCAUAACAUUAAUUUAAACGAAAGUGCGCGGAAUAAAAUUAUAAUGACGUUAUAUUUAUAUUUAACUCGUUAAAAAAAUAAUCGAUUGUGAUCUAAAUUUGAUAAAAGAAAAGAAAACAAAACAAAACAAAACAAAGGAAUAUAUCCAGACGUUUAUAGCUUAAUCAACUUUGUUUCAUGUCCACUCAACUAUGACGAAAACUUUAGUUUAAGCACAGUUUUAUUUAAUUGAUCCUCGAUUAAAACUCCGAUAAUAACAAUAAUAAUCGUCUUCCGUUUGCAAAGAUAUAGUAUUAAUUAUAUAAUAACAAUAAUAACAAAAUUGGUCAAAAUUUCUUCGCCAAUCAUGACAAUAUACAUAUACGCUCAAAAUUGUGGAAUUCAUUAAUAUACAUCGAUCAAAGAGCUUAAAUACAGAGUACAUUAUAAUGAUUAAUACACAUAUAUGUACAUGUGCGUGUUGAGACUAAAGAAAUCGUAUGCUAGAAAUAAUAAAUGUUACUCGCGCAUAGUUUAAUAUGUAACCUUUAAUAGGAUUAUCAAAGCGGAGCGGAGAAAAUUUUUAUAUCAGAUGCAAAGAUAUUAAUGAACUUUAUAUCAUGCACGAUGAACUGACUUGCAUUUAUUUUUCUUCCUAUACUAUCGUAUUUCGUGUUUUGUUUGUAAUAAUCCUUUUUCUUUUCAUAAGAACACGAUCAUUUCUAAGGUAAGACAGGUGAAUAACUUAGAUUAUCGACAAAAAUAUUUGCUUGUCAAGUCAGUUAAUCGGAUGAAAGCAGAUUGCGAAAAUAUUAUAAUCACGAAAAUACUUCAUAUUCCCAAUAUAGAAAGAUGGCUAUUUAAACGCAAUUAGAGGAUAAUUUUAUACAUACAAUACAACAUGUUCAAUACGAAAUAAAUAAAUUUUUAUAAAGUA